rnacentral:Y_RNA from 1 species
GGUUGGUCUGAGUGCAGUGGUGCUUACAACUAAUUGAUCACAACCAGUUAUAGAUUCCUUUCCUUCUCCCUCCCACUGCUUCACUUGACCAGCCUAAA